rnacentral:rRNA from 1 species
AUUGAACGCUGGCGGCAUGCUUUACACAUGCAAGUCGAACGGUAACAGGUUAAGCUGACGAGUGGCGAACGGGUGAGUAAUGCAUCGGAACGUGCCCGAUCGUGGGGGAUAACGCAGCGAAAGCUGCGCUAAUACCGCAUACGAUCUGAGGAUGAAAGCGGGGGACCGUAAGGCCUCGCGCGAUCGGAGCGGCCGAUGUCAGAUUAGGUAGUUGGUGGGGUAAAGGCUCACCAAGCCGACGAUCUGUAGCUGGUCUGAGAGGACGACCAGCCACCCUGGGACUGGGACACGGCCCAGACUCCUACGGGAGGCAGCAGUGGGGAAUUUUGGACAAUGGGCGCAAGCCUGAUCCAGCAAUGCCGCGUGCAGGAAGAAGGCCUUCGGGUUGUAAACUGCUUUUGUACGGAGCGAAAAGGCUCUCUCUAAUACAGGGGGCUCAUGACGGUACCGUAAGAAUAAGCACCGGCUAACUACGUGCCAGCCGCCGCCGUAA